rnacentral:rRNA from 1 species
CAGCUAGCUCAAUUACCCAAUAACUAAACAAUAUAAAUAAAACAAAAUAAGCCUAACACCAAAAAUUAAAUCAUUCUUUUACCUUAGUAUGGGCGACAGAAAAGGUUACACCUGGAGCAAUAGAAAAAGUACCGCAAGGGAAAGCUGAAAGAGAAAUGAAAUAACUUAUAUAAGCACCAAAAAGCAAAGAUUAAAUCUUGUACCUUUCGCAUCAUGAUUUAGCCAGUAUAUCCAAGCAAAGAGACCUUUAGUUUGAAACCCCGAAACCAAGUGAGCUACCCCGAGACAGCCUAUUAAGGGCCAACCCGUCUCUGUGGCAAAAGAGUGGGAAGAGCUCCGGGUAGAGGUGAUAGACCUACCGAACUUGGUGAUAGCUGGUUGCCUAAGAAGUGAAUAGAAGUUCAGCCUCGUACUCCCUGAAUCAAAAGAUAUAAAAAGAUAUUAGAGGGAAAUAUAUGAGAGUUAGUUAAAGGGGGUACAGCCCCUUUAACAAAGGACACAACCUUUCCAGGAGGAUAAAGAUCAUAAUACAUAAGACAUCCUGUUCUAGUGGGCCUAAAGGCAGCCAUCUAAACAGAAAGCGUUAAAGCUCAGACAGAAAUAAGUUUAUUAUUCCGACAAGAAAUCUUACUCCCCUAAAUAUUAUUAGGCCAGCCCAUGCCCACAUGGGAGAGACUAUGCUAAAAUGAGUAACAAGAAGGCCAGCCCUUCUCCAAGCACAAGUGUAAGCCAAACCGGACCGACCAUUGGCAAUUAACGAACUCAACCCGAGAGAGUAAUGUGUAUUACAACGAAACCAGGAAGAACCCACAAUUAACCCAUCGUUACCCCCACACUGGCGUGCUAUUAAAGGAAAGACUAAAAGAAGGGAAAGGAACUCGGCAAACACAAGCCUCGCCUGUUUACCAAAAACAUCGCCUCCUGCAACACAACCAAGUAUAGGAGGUCCAGCCUGCCCAGUGACUACAAGUUCAACGGCCGCGGUAUUUUGACCGUGCAAAGGUAGCGCAAUCACUUGUCUCUUAAAUGGAGACCUGUAUGAAUGGCUAAACGAGGGCUUAACUGUCUCCCCCCUCCAGUCAGUGAAAUUGAUCU